rnacentral:rRNA from 1 species
GAUAAACGCUGGCGGCGUGCAUAACACAUUCAAGUCGAACGGGAAUCUUUGAGUGGAGACUUCGGUCAAAGCGAGAAGAGGAUAGUGGCGGACGGGUGAGUAACGCGUGAGCAACCUGCCUUUGUGAGGGGGAUAACACAGGGAAACCUGUGCUAAUACCGCAUAACGCAUACUGAUUGCAUGGUUGGUAUGUCAAAGGAGCAAUCCGCACAAAGAUGGGCUCGCGUCUGAUUAGAUAGUUGGUGAGGUAACGGCUCACCAAGUCGACGAUCAGUAGCCGGACUGAGAGGUUGAACGGCCACAUUGGAACUGAGAUACGGUCCAGACUCCUACGGGAGGCAGCAGUGGGGAAUAUUGGGCAAUGGGCGAAAGCCUGACCCAGCGACGCCGCGUGAGGGAAGAAGGUCUUCGGAUUGUAAACCUUUGUAGACAGGGAAGAAGAAAGUGACGGUACCUGUAAAGUAAGCCACGGCUAACUACGUG